AUCUUUUUGUGGUUCAUAAAUGUGCUGGUUGGGUUUCCACGAUAUUGUGGGAGAGGUGUCUGUCAAACCUUGUAAUGAUGUCAGUACAUUGCCCGUCUGGUA
rnacentral:snoRNA from 1 species